AAACGAAAAACACAUCCAUAAGCAAUUGUAAGAUCUGUAGGAGUUUAAGUUCAAAAGCAAAAAACCAUGGACAAAAAUCAGAAAUUGAGCUACGAUGUUGGUGUAGCUAAGGGCCAAGCCCAGGAAAAAGGUAGUCAAUUGAUGGAGAAGGCUGGGACUGCUGUGGAGUCUGCCAAGGAAACAGCGCAAGAGGUGGGGCAGCAAGUGACGACCAAAACACAAGAAGCAGCAGAGGCCGUUAAAAAUGCCACUGGCAUGAACAAAUAAACCACGUUAAUUUAUACCAUAUUAUAGUUUAUGAAGAUCUUAAUUUCUUCUACUUCAAUUGGAUUACCAAUUUAUGUUGCUUAAGUUUGAAUAAAUGGUGAGAACUUCUGCGUUUCUGAAUUAUAGUUUGUAAUAAUGUUUGGUUCUUAAUUAUAAUUGCAUAUUUAGUAGCACUUGCAGUAGA